UACGGAGGGGGCGAGCGUUAUUCGGAAUUAUUGGGCGUAAAGGGCGCGUAGGCGGCAUGGUAAGUCAGAGGUGAAAUCCCUCGGCUCAACUGAGGAAUUGCCUUUGAAACUGCCAAGCUUGAGGCCGGGAGGGGGUAGCGGAAUUCCCAGUGUAGCGGUGAAAUGCGUAGAUACUGGGAGGAACACCGGUGGCGAAGGCGGCUACCUGGACCGGAUCUGACGCUGAUGCGCGAAAGCGUGGGGAGCAAACAGG
rnacentral:rRNA from 1 species